rnacentral:rRNA from 1 species
AUGAAUCUCCUAGCUUGGAACUGUCGGGGACUGGGGUUGGACUCGACAGUUGGUGAAUUACGGGAUCUUAUUCGAUCUCACAACCCUGCGGUGGUUUUUCUUUCGGAAACAAAAAAAUCAGUGACAGUGAUGGAGCGGUUGAAGUGGAGUUUGGGUUUUACUAGCGGUGUUGCGGUGGGAUGCAAAGGGAGGAGUGGGGGUUUAGCUUUGUGGUGGAGGGAUCAUUUGCAGGUCAAGGUAAGGCCGUGGAGCCAGUAUUUCAUCGAUGCAGAGGUGGAGUGGGAAGGAAAGACCCAUAGGAUCACUGGAUUCUAUGGGGAGCCAAAAACAGAACUUCGUAAAAAGUCAUGGGACGCUCUCCGGUACCUCCGUGCCCGGGACAACCUACCUUGGCUUUGUGUUGGGGAUUUCAACGAGGCCCUCUUCCGCACGGAUCAAGUAGGGGGAAAUCCGAGAUGCUUUAAUCAGAUGGAGGAUUUUCGAGAUUGCCUUUCAGAGUGUGGCCUCGCAGAUCUUGGUUUUUCAGGCUACCCCUACACUUGGGAUAACAAAAGAGAUGGUCUUGACAAUACCAGGUGA